GGUGUAAUUACCCAAGUUUGAGGUAAUUGAAUGUUUUGACCCAGAGUUUAGGCUGCUGUGGUUUGAAAAAAAUUUUCGGAACGUCCUGCAUGUUUGUGGGACAAU
rfam:Wuchereria bancrofti cont1.18384, whole genome shotgun sequence.